GGUUGAACCUCUAAAGGCUUGUGUUUGUAUAAGCAUCCAGAAGAUUAGGUGCUUGCUUGAUGUGCUGACCUGUACCCACCACCCACAUACCCCACGCCCUUUUGUAGUUCCAGUCAUAUUUCUAGUGACAUGUCUGGGAGUCAUUCUCACACAAAAUAGGCCUGAUCUUGGGUAUAAGCCCUGUGACCUGUUAGCUCCUCCAAUACUAGGUUUUUCCUCACCUACCCAGGCAGCCCACUGCCUUCAUUCAUCCACACUUGGCUAAUUGGCUCACUCACUUCCUUCUGCAAGGCUUUCACACUGACUUGGUGUUUUAUAUUAGUGCAAGUGCAUUUGAGCCAUCUCAGUCUUUGCACACUAGAAUUAAAGGCUAGUGUGCAGUUCCCCCUUCCCUUCAGAAGAUUUCAUUCUUCAGAUCUAUAGAAGAUCAAGUCAACUCGCUGUUUCCACAAAGAAGCAGGAGGAAAGCGCAGACUAAUCAUCCAAACCUAUAAGAUCAGAGGAGGGCAGAAGCAUUUGGUCUGCGCCAGAUUAAAAAAGAGCGCACUGGAGAGGUUGAGUAGCAGGAUGCUGGGUCUCACACCCCCUUCCCACCAAAAAACCUGCCACUCAUGCAAGUAAGGGUGUGGUGGGAGAAAGGGCUAUUUUGGGACUUCCAGUAUCUCCCCUAAAAGAGAUGAAGGUCAUAUAUUUGACCAUUUCAGAACUUUUUCAAUAAAGGUUUCUUCUAGGUGUACAUUUUGGGUGCAGUAUGAAGGAAGGGAAUGGAUCUUAAAUUUGUCCAUACGUAUUUACCCUCCCUUCCUUUCCUUCUGCCAUUUUCUGCCAUUUAUGUUAAACUUGUGUUGAUCUGUUCACAGGCUUCUAGUGUCGAACUGAUGGAUUUGUCUUCUUUAUUGUUCUGCUUUAGGUUACUCUAUUUCUCUUUCCAGGUGGUGUCCAUGUUAUCUCUUGAUGUGGAAGUUGUGUUGAUGUCAUCUUUAAAGCAUGUCCGUCAAUAUCGUCUUACCAGGUUUGAUGCUUCAGGUUGAUUUGCUCGCCUUAGAAUUUCGGAUCUUGCAAUCUUUCCAAUAAACUCUGAAGAUCUUUGGAAUCUUCAGGAAUUUACUUUGGAAUUAGUUGAUCUUAUCAAUUUCUGUUGUUGAUUUUCAUGACUCUGUUCCAUGAAAGAGGACAGAGAUAAUGCUGGCAUUAAAAAUUUGUAUUUUUGUGCCAUUGCCAAUCAUGCUAUUUUUCCAAAUCUUUUCAAGUUUAUGAAAGUUUUUUGUUUUGGUUUCUUUUUUGCUUGUUUUUAUAUUUGUUGCUUAGUAGCUAGCAUGGUAUCACCACCAUUGCACACACCCCCUCGCUAGGCAAAAUGAUUUAUUUCUUCUAAUAUUUCUCCAUCUACUCUGACAGUUGCUUUUGGAACAUUAAUAGCCAUGUAUUUUGUCUUCUCCUCAUUGAUGAAACAAGCCAACUUGUUUGGCUAUAUCUGCAAAAAGCUGGGUCUUCCAUUAAAUAUGUUGGACUAAGCGGUACAAUGUCAUCAGCAAAAACAAGGUAAUCAAAUUGCACUUUGUCAUUUAUCCAUAAAAUUUCUUGGUUGCUUUCUAUGGUUACUUUCCUCAUGACAUAGUCAAUGACCAGGGCAAACACCCUUGCCUUACUCCAGUUGUCACUGCAAACCAUUGACUGAUGUAAUCACUAUCUUUAACUGCACAUUAUAUUGGCCUUGAUGAUUCUAAUUAUUUUUGCUGGUAUUCUGUAGCAUCCCAUAAUUUUCCAAAGACAGUCUUUGCAUACACUGUCAAAAACCUUCUGGAAUUCUACAAAAUUUAUCACAAAAGGUGCUUGCUGUGCCAUACUUUGUUGUAUAAUAUGUCAGAGAACAACAAUAUGGUCUUCAUAGGAUCUCAGUGGUCUAAAAUCUGCUUGUUCCUCUGUAAAUUGAAGGUCCAUUUCUUUCUUGAUAUGUUUCAGGGUGAUGUUGCACAUGAUUUUACCAGGCUUUGACAAUGUUGUGAUUCCUCUCCACUUACUGCAGUCGAACUGUCCACAUGUGGAGACUUCCCCAUCCAUCACCCAGGGAUGCGUUUGGUAGCUUCUGAUGCCCCAUGCUCAGCCAAAAAAAUGCAGCACAUCUGAUUGACCUGGACAUGAUGGCAAAAUGAGGACAGAUGAAUGGAUGAAUUUUAAGUGAAGAUGGUUGGAUUAUGUGACCAGAAGACUUGAUUAUCUGGCCAGAAGACCAAGCCACAGAAGACCCACAGAGGCCGACGUACAGCCUGCAGGGUCAAUGGGAGCUGAAGAAAAUGGCAGCACUGCUCCUGGACAUCAGUGGGUGCUCAAAAAAGAAAGUGCAACUCUCCACACCCUCAUCAAAUGGCUCCCUUUGCUUCCCCCACCUGUUCAGGCAGCUGGGUGGCCACUUUCUGCCCUUGGCUAUGGAUGUGCAACUUGAAUUGGCUUCAAUGGACCCUCAGUGACUUACUGGAAUUUUGAGGUGGGGCUUCGCUUUUGAUUGGAAUAGAAAUUUCUGACAAGUAAAAAAAACAAACCAGGAGUUAACUCUCCAAAUCACUUCUGAAUUAAUCUGAGAGUCAGUGGUAGUUCAGAAAUACAGUGUUUUAUGUUGAUGCCUAUUGCCCUCUACCUGCUCUUCACUGUUUCAAUGAUCCAUUGAUAUGAAACUUUACCUCCGGUCCCCAGUCUUUUCCUGGCGCUGCAGGAUUGCUGCCCAUUCAUCUGAACAUUAAGGUUUAGAUGUUUGAUAUGAUCCACCCAAAAUGUCAGUUAAAUUAGUCCAGUCUACCUGCAGGCAUUUAUGAAAGACUUAUCAUCUAUGUGCUGGUUGUUCACACUUGGAGUCCCAUACACUAUCUCUAUGAUAAUCAGGGCAUACUGAUGGACCUGUAGAGAUAUGAGCCAUAAUUAAGCAAAUACUUUUUCAAUGGACCUCUGGAAUAUCAUGAAGUAGCUAGGUAAGGAAGUGGCUAAAUUCCCCAUAAAUUUGAACUUGUUAAUUUUUUUUCUUUUUGAAAACCUAAAAAAGGUCAACUACUUUUGAUAAAUUCCCUCUCAUAAUUCUAGGUAUUCAGUGGCAGCUGUGCAGAGUUGAACAGAUCCCUACACAAGAUAGUUCCUCUAACUGAACAGCCAGCAAAUUUAUAGCUUUUGAAUGCUGUAACGUUAACACACUGCUGCUGAAAUAUUUAUGCUGGCUUUUAAAUAUCCCUGAGGAAAUCCACCCUGAAGUCUGCAAAGCUAUACCCUUUUACCUUCAAAAUUUCCAUAAAAAAUGAUGAAUUACAUUAAAUUGAACCUCCCUUUAAAUUUCAUGUAUA